UUUAAAUGGCCGCAGUACCUUGACUGUGCUAAGGUAGCAUAAUCAAUUGGCUUCUAAUUAAAGUCUGGAAUGAAAGGAAAUAUGAAGUAAUUCUAUCUUAAAGGAUUUUUUUUGAAUUUAUUUAAAUGAUGAAAAUAUCAUUUUGUAGAAAAAAGACGAGAAGACCCUUAGAGUUUUGAUAUUUAUAUAUUUUUGUUGGGGCGACAGGUAAACACUAUAACUUUACGAUUAUUAUUAAUCGAUUUUUUAUAAGAAUAAUAAAACUACCUUAGGGAUAACAGCAUUAUAUAUUUUUAUGAUUGUGACCUC
rnacentral:rRNA from 1 species